UGGGAUCAGUGAGUCAUACUAACAUCCCCCAGGCAAGUUUCUACCUGUUUAACAACACGGCACCCAGAAGCACCCAGAACUACCCAGAGCCCCCCAGAAGCACUCAGAGCCAACAAUAGACACACACAGACAAAGUGGAAUAGGCUCUCACCUGUCUGAAUAGGCCUACAGACUGAAAUGGCUAAGUAACAGCAUUCAAUUCUCUGUUGCCUCUAUCCUGUCUCUACCACCUUAGUCCAGCUGUGAAGCCAUGCUGUGAAGCCAUGCUGUGAAACCACGCUGUUGAAGCUAUGCUUUGAAGCCAUGCUGUUGAUGCCACGCUGUGAAACCACGCUGUGAAACCGUGCUGUUGAAGCCGUGCCGUUGAAGCCGUGCUGUGAAGCCGUACUUUGAAGCCGUGCUGUGAAGCCAUGCUUCUUUAUACUGUGGCCUUUACUCUCUUUUGAAUACCUGUUUCAGAAACCUCAUAUGACAGGUUAUUACUAGUCUGUCAGUCCAUAUCAAACACACGUUUUCCAUGUCUCUAUAGAACCCUCCUGUCAUUAUUACCCUUGUAACACUGUUUCAUGUUGCGUUAUACACAUGAAGGGAGGUGCUUGGAAGGUUCUGAUGUCGUUCCAUAUCAAAACUGUACAUAAUGAAGAUAGAGUCCUCUUGUUAUAUUCCUGUCUAUCACAGUAUACCUAUCAACCUGUUGAGGAAAUGUCACCUCAUCAGUCAGACUCAGAUAGUAUCACAGUUUAACUAUCAACCUGUUGAGGAAAUGUCACCUCAUCAGUCAGACUCAGAUAGUAUCACAGUUUAACUAUCAACCUGUUGAGGAAAUGUCACAUCAUGAGUCAGACUCAGAUAGUAUCACAGUUUAACUAUCAACCUGUUGAGGAAAUGUCACCUCAUGAGUCAGACUCAGAUAGUAUCACAGUUUAACUAUCAACCUUUUGAGGAAAUGUCACCUCAUCAGUCAGACUCAGAUAGUAUCACAGUUUAACUAUCAACCUGUUGAGGAAAUGUCACCUCAUCAGUCAGACUCAGAUAGUAUCACAGUUUAACUAUCAACCUGUUGAGGAAAUGUCACAUCAUGAGUCAGACAGAUAGUUUAUUAACUGUCAUGUCACCUCAUGAGUCAGACAGAUAGUUUAUUAACUGUCAUGUCACCUCAUGAGUCAGACAGAUAGUUUAUUAACUGUCAUGUCACCUCAUGAGUCAGACAGAUAGUUUAUUAACUGUCAUGUCACCUCAUGAGUCAGACAGAUAGUUUAUUAACUGUAAUGUCACGUCAUGAGUCAGACAGAUAGUUUAUUAACUGUAAUGUCACCUCAUGAGUCAGACAGAUAGUUUAUUAACUCUAAUGUCAGCGUGAUAAAGCAUAAGUCUUGGUGGGGAUGAUAAUUGUUAAUUUAUUCAUAUGGUUUAGCGUGAAUCUGUUUGUUAUUAAUUGAAUAGCAAUAUUGAUUACAUUUCCCUCACCUUCACCUUUGAUGAAACGUUGGAAAAGAUUUGGAAAAAAUGUCACUCUGACUGGCGAGCGCAUGCAUGAGCAGCCCUGACUAUGACGCACCAUGUCAUGACCUCGCAUAUGAGAUUACACUUGAUAUUAUUAAAGUUCCUAGCAAAAGUU